GGCUGUCUGGUGUACUGGUUAAAGUGUCGGACUAGGACAUCAGAGGCCAGGGUUCAAGUCCCCAGUCGGCCA